UACGUAGGGUGCGAGCGUUGUCCGGAAUUACUGGGCGUAAAGAGCUCGUAGGUGGUUUGUCGCGUUGUUCGUGAAAUCUCACGGCUUAACUGUGGGCGUGCGGUCGAUACGGGCAUCACUGGAGUUCGGCAGGGGAGACUGGAAUUCCUGGUGUAGCGGUGAAAUGCGCAGAUAUCAGGAGGAACACCCGUGGCGAAAGCGGCUCUCUGGGACGGUACUGACGCUGAGACGCGAAAGCCGUGGGGAGCAAACAGG
rnacentral:rRNA from 1 species